rnacentral:rRNA from 1 species
UCCCUCAGUAAUGGCGAAUGAACAGGGAUGAGCUCAGUAUGGAAAUUGGGGCCUGUGGCCUUGAAUUGUAGUCUGGAGAUGUACCACCAACUGGGGCGCAGAUGUAAGCCUCUUGGAAAAGAGCAUCAAUGAGGGUGAGAGUCCCGCAUGGCAUCUGCAGUCCCCAGUGCACGGUGUACCUUCUAAGAGUCACGUUCCUCGGGAUUGGAGCGCAAAUCGGGUGGUAAAUUUCAUCUAAAGCUAAAUAUAGUUUCGAGACCGAUAGCAAACAAGUACCAUGAGGGAAAGGUGAAAAGGACUUUGAAAAGAGAGUUAAAAGUGCCUGAAAUUGCUGAAAGGGAAGCGAAUGGAACCAGCGAAACUUGGCAAGAUUGCUGUGUGUCAAUGUGAUUGCUUGCUGCUGCAACGUAAGUGUGGUAGUAAGUCUUGAGCAGGACAUGCUCGGUGUUUCUUGCCUUGUGUGUCACCUGUGGUUCGUGAUUGAGGAAAACUUCAGGGACAUGGUAGCCUGUCUCCGGGUGGGUGAACGUGUCUGCUGGAACUCAUUCGUGGACUGCUUGGUGACUAAAUGGUUUCAUCCGACCCGUCUUGAAAC